CACGUAGGGGGCGAGCGUUGUCCGGAUUUAUUGGGCGUAAAGAGCUCGUAGGCGGCUCAGUAAGUCGGGUGUGAAACCCCCGGGCUCAACCCGGGGACGCCACCUGAUACUGCUGUGGCUUGAGUCCGGUAGGGGAGCGUGGAAUUCCUGGUGUAGCGGUGAAAUGCGCAGAUAUCAGGAGGAACACCAGCGGCGAAGGCGGCGCUCUGGACCGGUACUGACGCUGAGGAGCGAAAGCGUGGGGAGCAAACAGG
rnacentral:rRNA from 1 species